UGGGGAAUAUUGCACAAUGGGGGAAACCCUGAUGCAGCCAUGCCGCGUGUGUGAAGAAGGCCUUCGGGUUGUAAAGCACUUUCAGCGAGGAGGAAAGGUUGUUGGCUAAUACCCAGCAACUGUGACGUUACUCGCAGAAGAAGCACCGGCUAACUCCGUGC
rnacentral:rRNA from 1 species